rnacentral:rRNA from 1 species
CCUGGCUCAGGAUGAACGCUAGCUACAGGCUUAACACAUGCAAGUCGAGGGGCAGCAUGGUCUUAGCUUGCUAAGACUGAUGGCGACCGGCGCACGGGUGGGUAACACGUAUCCAACCUGCCGUCUACUCUUGGACAGCCUUCUGAAAGGAAGAUUAAUACAAGAUGGCAUCAUGAGUCCGCAUGUUCACAUGAUUAAAGGUAUUCCGGUAGACGAUGGGGAUGCGUUCCAUUAGAUAGUAGGCGGGGUAACGGCCCACCUAGUCUUCGAUGGAUAGGGGUUCUGAGAGGAAGGUCCCCCACAUUGGAACUGAGACACGGUCCAAACUCCUACGGGAGGCAGCAGUGAGGAAUAUUGGUCAAUGGGCGAGAGCCUGAACCAGCCAAGUAGCGUGAAGGAUGACUGCCCUAUGGGUUGUAAACUUCUUUUAUAAAGGAAUAAAGUCGGGUAUGCAUACCCGUUUGCAUGUACUUUAUGAAUAAGGAUCGGCUAACUCCGUGCCAGCAGCCGCGGUAAUACGGAGGAUCCGAGCGUUAUCCGGAUUUAUUGGGUUUAAAGGGAGCGUAGAUGGAUGUUUAAGUCAGUUGUGAAAGUUUGCGGCUCAACCGUAAAAUUGCAGUUGAUACUGGAUAUCUUGAGUGCAGUUGAGGCAGGCGGAAUUCGUGGUGUAGCGGUGAAAUGCUUAGAUAUCACGAAGAACUCCGAUUGCGAAGGCAGCCUGCUAAGCUGCAACUGACAUUGAGGCUCGAAAGUGUGGGUAUCAAACAGGAUUAGAUACCCUGGUAGUCCACACGGUAAACGAUGAAUACUCGCUGUUUGCGAUAUACUGCAAGCGGCCAAGCGAAAGCGUUAAGUAUUCCACCUGGGGAGUACGCCGGCAACGGUGAAACUCAAAGGAAUUGACGGGGGCCCGCACAAGCGGAGGAACAUGUGGUUUAAUUCGAUGAUACGCGAGGAACCUUACCCGGGCUUAAAUUGCAGAUGAAUUACGGUGAAAGCCGUAAGCCGCAAGGCAUCUGUGAAGGUGCUGCAUGGUUGUCGUCAGCUCGUGCCGUGAGGUGUCGGCUUAAGUGCCAUAACGAGCGCAACCCUUGUUGUCAGUUACUAACAGGUUCCGCUGAGGACUCUGACAAGACUGCCAUCGUAAGAUGUGAGGAAGGUGGGGAUGACGUCAAAUCAGCACGGCCCUUACGUCCGGGGCUACACACGUGUUACAAUGGGGGGUACAGAGGGCCGCUACCACGCGAGUGGAUGCCAAUCCCCAAAACCUCUCUCAGUUCGGACUGGAGUCUGCAACCCGACUCCACGAAGCUGGAUUCGCUAGUAAUCGCGCAUCAGCCACGGCGCGGUGAAUACGUUCCCGGGCCUUGUACACACCGCCCG